GCAAGUACAUUUUAAAAUUGUUUGUAUUUUGAAAGUUUUCUCUGCGUGAAGCCCAUUUGCCUCACUCCCUGCGCUCUUGGCCACAGACUCCUUUCUGCGCUCCCGGCUGGCAGCGCAUUUUCUCGGCGUUUCCUCAAACGCCCCUCUGCUGGCUGACUCUCAGACUGAGGCGCUUUUCUCAUCUGUUGAAUCCCUACUCCGCGCAGACCAGGUGGAAAAGAAAGGAAUGUAAAUCGGCACAAAAUACCGCCACAGACAAAAGCCAAAUAAUGAGAAUCUUCAAAUAGAAAAAUCCAACACAUAACUCACCAGACAUGAUGGCUGAGAGGAGGAGAGGAUCCCUGGAGAAGACCUUUGGAUAUCCACAAGUUCUGUACUGCCUCAGCAAAAUGGCCAAGAAUGAAAUUUCUAUAAAAGUCUCCAAAAAUAACAAGUCUAAUGUGUUCCAGUGGGAUCAGAGCAUUCAACAAUAUUGUAAUAAAGCUGGGGAGAUAUUAGUUUGAGAUUUUCUCCCUCCAUGCCUACUA